GUUUUGUUUGUUAAUUUUGUGCUGUUGAAGUUUUAGUUUCAUCAGAAUAUUUUAUUAGUUAAAAGACGUAGAAAACAAGUUCGCUAAAUAACGUUAUAAUUCUGCUAGCUUAUUCUGAUGAGCUCGCUAAGCUAACUUUAGCUAACAUAAAUAGAUUGUAAGAUUUAGUUUGACGCUUAUUUAGGAAUUUAGUUAAAGUGAACUGUUGAGGGUGAUCUGUUUAACGUUUUUGUUAAAAUAGUGAUGAUCAUCAAAUUGUCGAAAAUAUGAUUAUUUUAGUUUUGUUUGCUGUUUUUAUGACGUUUUCAGGUCUGAAAGCGACAGUUUUAUUACCACUCAAACCUUCUCUGCUAACAGGUUUAAAGCUCUCGACUAUGUCUUUGAGACCACCACCAGUCUGAAAGUGAUGAUGAACCUGCUGGCACUGCCCGCGCCUUACUUCAGUGGCAGCAGAGACCUGUACCCGCACAGCGGGGAGCUGCCUGCAGGCACCUACAGGACCCCGUGGGUCAGAGGAAAAGUGAUCUCCACCUGCAAACUGUUUGUCAGCGGCUCUGUGCUCCAUGACCUGGGAGAAAAAAAGCAGCCAGUUAAUUCACCUGAAAGAUUUACCGUGGCUCUGAGCGAGGUGAAAGGGGAUUUGGAGAUGAUACCGAGCUCUAAUCCUGACUCAGUGAAUGAUCUAGACCAGGAUGAGUGCGUUUGUCUUUUAAAAGAGUCAGAGUUCAAUGAUCCUUGUCAGGAAUCAUUUUUCAAGUGGACAACUGACCAGAUGAAACCUGGAAAUGAGAACAAAGGUAACUUAACGUUCCUGUCAGCCCUGAAGGAAUAUCUGUGACGUCUUUCUCACUUA
rnacentral:lncRNA from 1 species